GUCAUUGUUAUUAAAUAAUAGAUAAAAUUUGCUAUUCUAAACUUUCGAAUUGGACGUCAUCUAUUACAUGUGUCGAACUUGGCCUCCCUCCAGUUUUUCCAUGUGAUAGGUGAUAGAUUAAAUUCAAGUUCAAAUUUCUCAUGAACCUUGGAGUGUUGUGUUUUUUUAUUAUUGGGUUGUGAUAAUUAACAAUGAUCUUCAGUAAAAGGACAAAGCAAUUAAUAGAAAAAUAUUGUGGGUGUUGGGGGUUUUAUCAAUUAUGACUGACCUUGAGAGAUAUCAGUUGAAAGGGUAAAAUUUUUCUUGUGAUAUUAACAUUAUUAUAGGUUGGCCAAUUAUGAAGCAUAAAUUUCACUUUCAUCAAUAUUGAAAUGCCCAUUUUUUCAUUCAGAGAUGGAUUCCAUAUUAUUUACAUAUAAUAAAAAAGUAUAGGGCCCAACACUGAUCCCUGUGUGACACCUACAUUAAUAUCCACAUAAUUGUAUGUAUAUAAUUUUCUUACAUUAUUAUUAUCAUUGAUGAUACUGAUAUAUUGCUUCCGUGUUGAGACAAACAUUUUUAGCCAGUUAAGUGAAUUUCAUUGUACGCCAAUAUUAUGGAGUUUUAUAUAAAGAUUUUCGUGAUCAACACAGUCGAGUGCCUUACUGAGGUCACAGAAGACCCCGAUAGAGCACUCGCCCUGCUAAUUGAAUUCAAGACGUUAGAAUAUAAAGAAUAAAUCACAUCAGUUGAUGACUUUGAAUUCUGAAAACCAUAUUGGUUUUUGGAUAUAAUGUUGUUCUCAUUCAAAUAAACGUUCAGUCUGUUCAAAUAUGCAUAUUCAAAGAUCUUAGAGAAAACAGAUGGCACUGUGAUCGGUUGAAAAUUUGUCAUGUUAUAUGGAUUGCCUUUUUUAUAUAUAAUAAUGACUUUACCCGUUUUAAGGAGAUUCGGAAAAAUUCCUGUACAGUAUGAAAUAUUUAUCAGAUAUGUUAUAGGUGAGAUCAUAGAGCCUAAAAUUUUUCUUAAUAGAAACCCUGGAACUUCAUCAAAUCCAGAUGAGUAGGUGUUUUUUAAUUUUGACCAUAAUAGCUUGUAUAAUUCAUCUUGAUUAUAAGGUAGCAGCGAGAACUUAUUUGAAUGAGGAUAUCUUUCUAGUGGAUUGGACAAGUUUGUGGAAUUCUGGGUUUUUUUAAUAAUAUUUAAUGGGGCAUUUCUG